rnacentral:rRNA from 1 species
UACGUAGGGGGCAAGCGUUGUCCUGAAUCAUUGGGCGUAAAGAGCGUGUAGGCGGCCCGGUAAGUCCGCUGUGAAAGUCGGGGGCUCAACCCUCGAAUGCCGGUGGAUACUGUCGGGCUAGAGUGCGGAAGAGGCGAGUGGAAUUCCUGGUGUAGCGGUGAAAUGCGCAGAUAUCAGGAGGAACACCAAUUGCGAAGGCAGCUCGCUGGGACGUAACUGACGCUGAGACGCGAAAGCGUGGGGAGCAAACAGG